rnacentral:misc_RNA from 1 species
GAGGAUCUCGUCACGAAGAUCUUGAAUUCUUUCACGAGUAGUCUUUCUAUAUUGAAUGGAGUUGAGUCUGAUGAGGUCUCGCAAUUACCGGCGAGUAUUCACGUAGGUUCGCCUUGUUGUGAUGGCCGGAAGUCUGAAGAUUCCGGUGAGAGUAUUAGAAGUACUUCCACAAUGAAGGAUCGGAAAGGAUGUUAUAAGAGAAGAAAGACUUCCCAGUAUUCAUGGACAAGAGAUAGUCCUGAUCUAAUAGAUGACGGCCAUGCAUGGAGAAAAUAUGG